CUUGGUGACCAUGGCGAAGGGGUCACACCCGUUCCCAUUCCGAACACGGAAGUUAAGCCCUUCAGCGCCGAUGGUACUGCAUGGGUGACUGUGUGGGAGAGUAGGACGUUGCCGAGA
rfam:Deltaproteobacteria bacterium RBG_19FT_COMBO_46_12 rbg_19ft_combo_scaffold_8806, whole genome shotgun sequence.